rnacentral:rRNA from 1 species
UACAGAGGUCCCGAGCGUUGUUCGGAUUUACUGGGCGUAAAGCGCACGUAGGCGGAUCGUUAAGUCGGGGGUGAAAUCCUGGGGCUCAACCCCAGAACUGCCUUCGAUACUGGCGAUCUAGAGUCCGGAAGAGGUGAGUGGAACUCCUAGUGUAGAGGUGGAAUUCGUAGAUAUUAGGAAGAACACCAGUGGCGAAGGCGGCUCACUGGUCCGGUACUGACGCUGAGGUGCGAAAGCGUGGGGAGCAAACAGG